UCCCACGCCACCUGACCAACGGUGAGGUGGGGGAGUAUUUAACCGACGGGGCGAGGCGAGGAUGCGAGCUCUCGCGGCAGCAGCAACUGCAGUGGCGGCGCCUACUCCCGCGCGCCUCCGUCUCCGCCUCCCGCUCGCGCCCCGCGCCCCGCGCUCCGGUCAUUGUAGAGCAGCUUCUUCCUCCAGGCUUCUGCGGAUCUCCUGCAGCGCCACCACCAUGGGAGACGAGACCUCGACCUCCGUUCCUGCCCAGGAGCAGGGACCUGCUGUGGGUGCUGGGAGUGUCAAGCAACAGCUCUCCAAGCUGGUCAUUUCAUCCCUCCGGGCUACGGUGCCUGAAGUGGAGGUAGAACCGAUGGUUGAAGUUUCAGCAAAGUUUGCUGACUACCAGUGCAACAAUGCUAUGGGAUUAUGGUCAAAGAUUAAAGGAUCUGGAACCAGUUUCAAAAACCCUAAUGCUAUUGGACAGGCCAUUGCAAAGAACUUGCCUUCCUCUGACAUUAUUGAGUCCACAUCUGUCGCUGGACCUGGUUUUGUGAAUAUUACUUUAUCGAACCGCUGGGUUGCUAAGAGAAUACAAGAUAUGCUUGUCGACGGUAUUAAUACUUGGGCACCUAUUCUGCCAGUAAAGAGGGCAGUGAUUGAUUUUUCGUCACCUAACAUUGCAAAGGAAAUGCAUGUUGGACAUUUAAGGUCUACCAUAAUUGGAGAUACAUUAGCACGCAUGUUUGAGUUCUCAAAUGUUGAUGUUCUGAGGCGAAACCAUGUGGGAGAUUGGGGUACACAGUUUGGGAUGCUCAUAGAAUAUCUGUUUGAAAAAUUUCCAAAUUGGCAGGAAAUAGGUAGCCAGGCCAUUGGUGACCUCCAGAUUUUCUAUAAAGCAUCCAAGCAUAGGUUUGACAAUGAUCAAGAGUUUAAAGAGAGGGCUCAACAAGGAGUUGUUCGGCUACAGGGAGGGGAGGAGAAAUACCGAGAAGCAUGGAAAAAGAUUUGUGACAUCAGUAGGAGCGAAUUUGACUUGGUGUACAAGCGCCUAAACGUGGAGCUUGAAGAAAAGGGGGAGAGUUUCUACAAUCCUUAUAUACCUCAGGUGUUGGCGGAGUUGAGUAGCAAAGGAUUGAUCCAGGAGAGUGAGGGUGCUCAAGUAAUAUUUAUCGAAGGUUAUCAGAUCCCUUUGAUAGUGGUUAAAAGAGAUGGUGGCUUCAACUAUGCCUCGACAGACUUAGCUGCUCUUUGGUAUCGGCUCAAUGUUGAGAAGGCAGAAUGGAUAAUAUACGUGACAGAUGUUGGUCAGCAGCAGCACUUCGAAAUGUUUUUCAAUGCUGCAAAGAUGGCUGGUUGGCUCCCAGAUCCAAAGGAAAAGAAGUAUCCAAAAACGAGUCAUGUUGGAUUUGGCCUUGUUCUUGGGUCAGAUGGCAAGCGCUUCCGCACUCGUAGUACUGAGGUUGUUCGAUUGGUAGAGCUGCUUGAUGAGGCUAAAUCUCGGAGUAAAACAGAACUACUGCAGCGGCUCACUGAAAAUGGUAAAAUUGUUGACUGGACGGAUGAGGAAUUAGAACAAACUUCAGAGGCAGUUGGAUAUGGUGCUGUGAAGUAUGCUGAUCUGAAGAACAAUAGACUGACCAAUUACACAUUUAGUUUUGAACAGAUGCUUAGCGAUAAGGGAAACACUGCUGUGUACCUUCAGUACGCUCAUGCUCGCAUUUGUUCCAUUAUUCGGAAAUCAAACAAGGAUCUGGAAGAGCUGAAAAUGAGCGGAGCCAUUUCUCUUGACCAUCCAGAUGAGCGUGUCUUGGGGCUGUAUCUGAUCCGAUUUGCAGAGGUACCUUUCAUUACUAUUAUUGAAUUUUAUUUUAUAAGGUUCUGGAAGUCAGAUACCUCAUGCCAGCGAUGAGUUAUUAGUUAAUUAGAAGGACAUUUUGGGUGUGUCUUGAUUUUUAUCCGUAUGUUUUUCCCUUGCACUCCAAUAUGUUUUUUCUGUAGCUUUGGGGUGUCGGUCUAACUUAACUGAGAUGACUUGAUAUCUAAGGAGGUGCAUCAGUUUGCUUUUUUUAUCACACCGUAAUCUGUUUCAGGUUGUUGAAGAGGCUUGCACAAAUCUCCUUCCAAAUGUUGUGUGUGAAUACUUGUACAAUCUAUCAGAAAUGUUCACAAAAUUCUAUACCAACUGUCAGGUGGUUGGGUCACCGGAGGAGACGAGCCGGCUACUGCUUUGCCAAGCGACUGCUGUUGUCAUGCGUCAGUGCUUUCAGCUGCUCGGGAUUACACCGGUCUACAAGCUGUGAGCAGCGGUGCUCUCAAUUCAUCUUCACCAAUCAGUUCACGUAGAAACCUUAUUCACCAUGGUUGCAGUUUUGGUCUUGUAACCUAGUCGAGGCAGCUAACAUACUCUUAUCCACUGCCCCGUUCGAAAGCAGAAGGGACACAAGCUGUAGCUAAAUUGAUCUCGUGCAUUAUUUAUUACGUCUGUCGCGUGGUUGGCAGCUUAUUUGUCGAUGAUGUAAGUGUGAUGGGGAGCUGAGUAGCCGAACCUGCGGUUCUUACGUUUUGGUGGUGGAGCGAUUGGCUACCAGGUAAGGGUUUGGUGGAGUAACCGCAUCAAUUGAUACUGUAACUUUUUUAUUUUCACGUCCGAAGCAUGUAAGGUUGCGUAUUCUUGAAUAGACAAUCCUCAGAUCCAGGCCGAACUUAUCUAGAUGCGAAACAGUCAGCACAA